UUAAUAUUUUAUUGUAUUUUGGUGCGGACAGAGGCUAGUGGACAGAUGGACAAUAAACAUUGUGGAGUAAGAGAGAUCAGUUUUGCAGUCUUGCUGUACACAAUAAAUUAAUACGAGACGAAUGUGAAAAUUUGAAUGUUAUCGUUAAAAAAAUUCGACGAAUUCAGUGAAUUAUUUGGAGGAUGUGAUUCAGUACAGUUAAUUCUCGUCAAAGAAUCCUUUUGGGCGCUAAUUUUUCAUGACCAUUACAAGCAACCAAUUACGAAUAUUAAGGCAAAGUCCACGGAAUAAAUUAGGUCCGGGCCAUAACGUUUACACAGGACAGAUUACGUGCAGUGCGGAACAAGACGUUUCACAAGGGCUCACAUACACAAAGUUUGGCCACUUCCUGAAUGCCGGCUCGUUAUCUUGAUGUGGGACUUGAAUGGGUUCUUCUAGACGUCAUCCCCAAAAAUGGUUGCUGACCGCCUCCAAAUAUAUAUAUGGAGGGGCCAGAAUCUUCUUGUUUGGUGACUAUCCUUGGCGAGAGCUAAACCAAAUACAUAUUGUACAAACAAAACCUUCAACAUAAAAUACCGUACUCACUUCUGUUUUUGUCACAUACCAACAUCAAUAAAAAUCAGUCUCACUAAACACAAUAAACAAUACAACAGACCAAUGCUUUUUAUGUAUUAAUUUGAAAACAAAAAGCUGUCGCACGGUAUAUUUUUUUAUUUUCACGCAACAAAACUUCACCAUUUCCUAAGGAAAUGAUGGAAAUGGUGAUGUGCGUUGCUUCUGAAAGAAAUUCCUCUCCGAAAACUAAGUGAUGGCCGAAAUUAGCCAGGAUUAAAAUUGAUGCAGGUCAACAUCCAACGUGCUCAUGCGGUCAGCAUAAGUGGUUAACAUAGGAAUUUGCGGUGAGUGGAUACAGGUAAGUAAUUAUAAAAUUUACUAUUCUAUAAGUAUUCUAAUCUGAAAUUUUCUUUACAGGUAAUAAAUUUUUCAUCAAUGAAAAUACAUUUUGCGUCGUUUGUACGCUUGU